AACUUUGGCAAAUUUAUUCGUUUCGUGCAAUCCUCUCUUACUUCUAACACAAAGCGGUGGACUUUCACAGGAUUUCAAGCAUAGCACAGACUAACGAUCUGCUUGAUAUUACUGAGCUGGUUCUAUUGGGCAAAUCAAGAAUGGAAGCCAAAAGCACAAGUCUAGUUUUGAUGGGGCGUACAGGCAAUGGGAAGAGCUCAACUGGUAAUUCCAUCCUUGAGCGAAAUGACU